rnacentral:rRNA from 1 species
AACGAACGCUGGCGGCAGGCCUCAAACAUGCAAGUCUAGGGGGUGUAGCAAUACAUCACCGGCGGACGGGUGCGUAACGCGUGGGAAUAUACCUAUUGGUUCGGAACAACUGAGGGAAACUUCAGCUAAUACCGGAUACGUCCUUACGGAGAAAGAUUUAUCGCCAAUAGAUUAGCCCGCGUUCGAUUAGCUAGUUGGUGGGGUAACGCCCACCAAGGCGACGAUCGAUAGCUGUUCUGAGAGGAAGAUCAGCCACACUGGGACUGAGACACGGCCCAGACUCCUACGGGAGGCAGCAGUUGGGAAUCUUGGACAAUGGGGGGAAACCCUGAUCCAGCCAUGCCGCGUGAGUGAUGAAGGCCUUCGGGUUGUAAACUCUUUCGCGCACGACGAUAAUGACGGUAGUGCGAGAAGAAGGCUCCGGGCUAACUUCGUGCCAGCAGCCGCGGUAAU